rnacentral:misc_RNA from 1 species
AACGCACAUUGCGCCCUCUUUAACCGGGGGGCAUGCCUGUUCGAGCGUCAUUUACAUCUCAAUGAACAGUCUUCUGUUCGUGUUGGGCCUCGUCUGGUUGGACGUAGCCUCAAAGACAUGGGCUCUGUGAGCGGAUGGGAUCUCUUGUGGACUUACCGCUUGUGGGUGCCUGAACUCUUCCAAUGUGGACCUCGGAUCAGGUAGGACUACCGCCUGAACUUAA